ACAUCUCUACCAUACAUACAGUCUGCUCCCGCUAUCAGUGUCUUGGCUGGAAUGGGUCAAUCUACUUUUAGGCUGAUGUCAGGAGUCAAAGUAAAUUUCCAACAGGGCAUGCAGUACGUGUACGUAUGAGCGAUGUCGUCGACUUUCAUGUCAGUUUUGCGAGUGGCGACGAGCUCAAAAGGGAUACAGUUGUUACCGUGCAUAGCUGGAAGCACUUGCUGCACUGCAGAGCACCAGGACGGGGAUAGGGUCGACAGUCUGACACUGUGACAGUCGGACAGUGUGACACUGUGACACUGUGACAGUCUGGCCACACAGUUGCCAGAGUCUAUGUACAUUUUACAAUGAAGAAAUGUGAACACAGACACAUUCUCCAGCGAACGUGCGCAUGGAGUGAACUUGUUAAUACUCGUACUGUUAAAACGCAGCAUUUCCCUACAAGUUGACCCCACCAUGAAUACAUAAAUACUAUGCGUUGAGCAACCGAUUUAAAUGUAACUUUCUAUAAUUCAUGGCUGCUGUUACAAUUUGAUAAUAAUUUUAAAAUGCCUUUAAAUGGAGUCCCAAUAAUUGGCCAUAAUCAUCUGAUGCAUCACUGGUCAACACUCCCGAAUAUAAAGAUAUAAUCAUUUGUUAAUACGAGUAUUCAUAUAAUAAUCAUUAAAACGCAAUAAAUGCUUAACAUAUUGCAUUAAUUAUUUUUAAGCUUAAUAAAAAUUAAAU